ensembl:lncRNA
AGAGGACAGCCUGAACUUGCAAUUGGUCUCAAAGGGACUGGGAGGCAGUCCAUUGACCUGUGGGUCUCAUGCUGCCCCCAGGUGGCCAGUGGGGAGCAAUGUGGAUGUUCUCAAAACACACGGUUGUGCAUUUGACCUGCCCUCAGUCCCGCUCCCCCCAGGGACUAGUACAGAGGCAUAAUUCUGUUUCACCCCUGUCAAAGCAGUGCCAGGGCUGGGGCAAUUUCCCGGUGGCAUCUGUCAAAAGCUAUAAAGACAUCGAGGGAAUUCCCUGGUAGUUCAGUGGCUAAGACUUCUGAGCUCCCAAUGGAGGGGGCCCAAGUUCAAUCCCUGGCCAGGGAACUAGAUCCCACAUGCCUCAGGAGUUCCCGUGCCACAGCUAAAGAUCCUGCAUCUCGGGAAUUCCCUGUCAGUUCAGUGGUUAAGAAUCCACCUUGCAAUGCAGGGGACUUGAGUUCAGUCCCAAGACUCUCUGCUUCCACUGCAGAGGGGACAGAUUCAAUCCCUAGGGAAUUAUGAUCCCACAUGCCACGGAGCAACUAAGCCCACGGGCCACGACUGCAGAGUCUGUGCACUAAGACUCUAAGCUAAGACCUGACAGCCAAAUAAAUGUUAAAAAUUAAAAAUACUUUAUAUUUAAAAAAAAAAUCCUGCAUGCUGCAACAAAGAUCCUGUGUGCCACAACUAAGACCCAGUGUAGUCAAAUAAAUAAAUAAAUAUUUUUUAAAAAGAGAUCUUUUUAAAUUAAGAUAAACAACAAUAAAAUAAAUAGGUUAUAUAGAAAAACAUGGCAAAUAUUUCUCCAGCAUUGACAGUGGCAGUGACACUGGAGAGUUAACAUCGAGAGGUUUCUGAUGUCCUCAGGGAUUCAUUUAUCCUCCAGACACACCCAUCCGCAAUAUUCACAGAGAUUAUUGCCAACCUAGAAGGCACACUCCGGUUUCAGUGUCCAGAGUUUUUCGGGGGUUUCAUUAGGUAGGAGUCACUGAUUGAAUCCUUACAUGAUCGGAUCAUUGCCCAAGUGGCUCAGUCUCCUGCCCCUGUCCCCACCUACCCUCCUUGGAAGUCAGGCUAAUAUCCUGUGACUCCAGGCCCAACUAUCUAAUUACGUGGUUGGUCUUUCUGGCUCGAACAGCACCCACCCUGAGUCAUCGAGUUAGCACAAACAAUCCAGGGCUCCACCAUGAGUCACUAAGUUAGCAUAAACUAUCAAUUGUGUUCUGUCUAACAUCAAAAAUAAACUUGCAAUGAAUUAAAGACCUGAAUAUAAGGCCAGAUACUAUAAAACUCCUAAGAGGAAAACCUAGGCAGAACACUCUGACAUAAAUCUCAGCAAUAUUUUUUGGAUCCAUCUCCUAGAUGAAUGGAAAUAAAAACAAAAAUGAACAAAUGGGACCUAGUUAAACUUAAAAGCUUUUGCACAGCAAAGGAAACCAUAAACAAAAUGAAGAGACAGUCUACAUCAUGGGAGAAAAUAUUUGCAAAUGAUGCUACUAGCAAGGGAUUAAUUUCCAAAAUAAACGAAUAGUUCAUGCAGCUCUACAUCAAAAAAGCAACUCAAUCAAAACGUGGGCAGACGAUCUAAAUGGAUGUUUCUCCAAAGAAGUCAGAUGGAUGGCCAACAGGCACAUGAAAAGAUGUUCAAUAUCACUAAUUAUUUAGAGGAAUGCAAAUCAAAACUAUAAUGAGAUAUUACCUCACAUGUGUCAGAAUGGCCAUCGUCAAAAAUUCUACAGAUAAUAAAUGCUGGAGUGGAUGCAGAGAAAAAUGAACCCUCCUGGUGGGAGGAAUGGUGGGAAUGUAGGUUGGUUACAGCCACUAUGGAGAACAGUAUGGAUGUUCCUUAAAAAAAAUUAAAAAUAGAGUUCCUAUGUAAUCCUGCAAUCCUGGGCAUAUAUCCAGAGCAAACUAAUUCAAAAAGAUAACUGCACCCCACUGUUCAUAGCAGCACUGUUCACAAUAGCCAAGACAUGGAAGCAACGUAAAUGUCCAUCAAAAGAUGAAUAAAUAAACGUGGUAUAUAUAUACAAAGGAAUACUACUCAGUAACUAGAAAAAUGAAAUAAUAUCAUUUGAAGCAACAUAGAUGGUCCUGGAUAUUAUCAUAGUAAGUGAACUAAGACAAAGACAAAUAUCUGAUAUCACUUAUUGUGGAAUCUUAAAAAAUGAUACAGAUGAACUUAUUUACAUAAAAGAAACAGACUCAUGGGUGUAGAAAACAAUGUAAAAUUGUUAAUGUUAUUCAGUCGCUAAGUCAUACACGACUGAGCAAGACUGGAGCCCUGAACAACACAGGGCCACUGAGCAACAGCAGUGGAGCCCUCCCAGCUUCUUUCCACCAUGUGGGGAUUGAAUGAGAAGCAGGCCACCCACAACCCAGAAGAGGGCCUUCGCGUGAAUGAUGCUACUAUGAACACAGGUGUGUGGGAGACCCUGCUGUCAGUUCUUCCGGGUCCAUGCCCUGAAGUGGAGUUGCGGGAUCAUAUGGGAGAGCUACUUUUAACUGUUCAAAGGACUGCCAUGCCGAUUUCCAUAGUGGUUGUCAUCAUAACUGUUUCUACUCUUCUAAUUAGAGCAAGUGAUACUAGCUGCCAUAUAUGCUAACGAUAUAAAGUUCACUUUGAGAAAUAUCAGUAGAUGAAACAGUGAGCCCACUGAAAUAUAACUAAAAUUUUGCUCAAAAAUCUGGGCGUAAAAGCACAUAGAGACUAAUCCCCAGCUGCUCUGAUUUUUCCUCAGGUUGACUUGUGGGAUGAAUAUAAACUUUCUCUUUGAAUUAUUUAUUUAGUUAUUUAUUGGCUGCCGUGGGUCUUCAUUGCUGUGUGCUGGCUUUCUCUAGAUGUGGUGAGCAGGGGCUACUGUCUAAUUACGGGGUGCAAGCUUCUAGCUGCAGUGGCUUCUCUCGUUGGAGAGCACAGGCUCUAGGCGAGUGAGCUCCAGCAGUUGCAGCCCAUAGUAGGUAGGAUCUUCCCAGACCAGGAUUCAAACCAGUGUCCCCUGCAUUGUCAGGUGGGCUCUUGAUCAGGGCACCACUAGGGAAGCCCCCAGUAUGAACUUCUGAGGUGAACUUUUGUUCUUUUUCUUUCUUCUUUUGUGUUUGUGGUUUAAGACAAAGGGCACAAACAUCUCUGCUUUAUCAGGCUGUGGAUCUGUAACAAACCUUCCACAGAGGGUGAACUGGGAGAUUUUCCUGAUAGCCUCUCUGGCGAUUUUGGAGAUUGCACCUUCACAGUGGUUCCAGGAGAUAUUCACGGGCCGUAGAAAUGCAGACUAGCACAGAAUGUGUAGCAGUCACGUGUCCUCAGAGCUGCUGGCAUAUUAAUUUCUUCACACUCUUUUUGCCAGGAUAAUAGCUAGAAUGAUUGCUGCUCAGAGGACCAGGCCCAGCUAUCUCCAUGGUAACAUUAUACCUUGCCAAUGUCACUUGCAUUGCUCCAAGAACACGGUUCAUAGGAUAAGUCCCAGUCAUCUCCAUGGUAACGUUGUACCCUACCAGCAUCACCUUCCUCUCCCCAGGAACGUGGGUGCACAGGAACCAAGGCAGGCCUGCGAGGGAAAAAGGUACCUGCACAGUUUUAAUCUCCAUUUAAACAAUCUCCGUCUCUGUAGAUCAAGUUUACUAUGUUUUAAGAGCAGAAAGUUUCUUAAUAGGUCUCAACUGUUUUGCAAGCUGGCAUUUCAAAGCAGAGCUUCAUAGAAGAAAGGCCUGAAAUCCUACAGGUGAAAGUAUCUUCCAGCGACCACAUGCUGGAGUAGAACAGCCUCCAAGCUCUGGUCUCAAGAGUAGAGACAAUCAGGAAUCUUGCUUUUUGAAAAAGAUGUAGCAUUUUGAUGGCAGAAAACCUAAAUAUAAUCUAUGGCCAUUGGGACCUAGGGCUCCCCUGGUGGCUCAGUGAUAAAGAGUAUGCCUGCCAAUGCAGGAGAUGCAGGUUCGAUCCCUGAGUCAGGA